GGAAAGGCCCUUCGGGGUACUCGAGUGGCGAACGGGUGAGUAACACGUGGGUGAUCUGCCCUGCACUUUGGGAUAAGCCUGGGAAACUGGGUCUAAUACCGAAUAGGACCGCAUGCUUCAUGGUGUGUGGUGGAAAGCUUUUGCGGUGUGGGAUGGGCCCGCGGCCUAUCAGCUUGUUGGUGAGGUAAUGGCUUACCAAGGCGACGACGGGUAGCCGGCCUGAGAGGGUGACCGGCCACACUGGGACUGAGAUACGGCCCAGACUCCUACGGGAGGCAGCAGUGGGGAAUAUUGCACAAUGGGCGCAAGCCUGAUGCAGCGACGCCGCGUGAGGGAUGACGGCCUUCGGGUUGUAAACCUCUUUCGCCAGGGACGAAGCGCAAGUGACGGUACCUGGAGAAGAAGGACCGGCCAACUACGUGCCAGCAGCCGCGGUAAUACGUAGGGUCCGAGCGUUGUCCGGAAUUACUGGGCGUAAAGAGCUCGUAGGUGGUUUGUCGCGUUGUUCGUGAAAACUCACAGCUUAACUGUGGGCGUGCGGGCGAUACGGGCAGACUUGAGUACUGCAGGGGAGACUGGAAUUCCUGGUGUAGCGGUGGAAUGCGCAGAUAUCAGGAGGAACACCGGUGGCGAAGGCGGGUCUCUGGGCAGUAACUGACGCUGAGGAGCGAAAGCGUGGGGAGCGAACAGGAUUAGAUACCCUGGUAGUCCACGCCGUAAACGGUGGGUACUAGGUGUGGGUUUCCUUCCUUGGGAUCCGUGCCGUAGCUAACGCAUUAAGUACCCCGCCUGGGGAGUACGGCCGCAAGGCUAAAACUCAAAGAAAUUGACGGGGGCCCGCACAAGCGGCGGAGCAUGUGGAUUAAUUCGAUGCAACGCGAAGAACCUUACCUGGGUUUGACAUGCACAGGACGCCGGCAGAGAUGUCGGUUCCCUUGUGGCCUGUGUGCAGGUGGUGCAUGGCUGUCGUCAGCUCGUGUCGUGAGAUGUUGGGUUAAGUCCCGCAACGAGCGCAACCCUUGUCUCAUGUUGCCAGCACGUUAUGGUGGGGACUCGUGAGAGACUGCCGGGGUCAACUCGGAGGAAGGUGGGGAUGACGUCAAGUCAUCAUGCCCCUUAUGUCCAGGGCUUCACACAUGCUACAAUGGCCGGUACAAAGGGCUGCGAUGCCGUGAGGUGGAGCGAAUCCUUUCAAAGCCGGUCUCAGUUCGGAUCGGGGUCUGCAACUCGACCCCGUGAAGUCGGAGUCGCUAGUAAUCGCAGAUCAGCAACGCUGCGGUGAAUACGUUCCCGGGCCUUGUACACACCGCCCGUCACGUCAUGAAAGUCGGUAACACCCGAAGCCGGUGGCCUAACCCCUUGUGGGA
rnacentral:rRNA from 1 species